rnacentral:rRNA from 1 species
UACAGAGGUGGCAAGCGUUGUUCGGAAUUACUGGGCGUAAAGCGCGUGUAGGCGGCUUUGCAAGUCGGAUGUGAAAGCCCUCGGCUCAACCGAGGAAGUGCGUUCGAAACUGCAGAGCUUGAGUACCGGAGAGGGUGGCGGAAUUCCCCAAGUAGAGGUGAAAUUCGUAGAUAUGGGGAGGAACACCGGUGGCGAAGGCGGCCACCUGGACGGUCACUGACGCUGAGACGCGAAAGCGUGGGUAGCAAACAGG